rnacentral:lncRNA from 1 species
CAAGUAGAGCUCAGAGACCCUCUCUUCCUAUUCAAUAGGGUACUCUUAUGACGUGUAGGGGUGCCACUGUGAUGUUCCAAGAAGAAGAACCGUGAAAAGAGUAUUUUAUAUUCAUGCAUGUUAUUAGAUCUUCAUUCAUAUAUGAUAUGCUUUAGAUGUUUAGUUAUAAUUAUAUUGUAUGAUUCUGCUUCCAUAUCUUAGA